rnacentral:rRNA from 1 species
GCAACUUUCAGCAGUGGAUGUCUAGGCUCGCACAUCGAUGAAGAACGCUGCGAACUGCGAUACGUAAUGCGAAUUGCAGGAUUCAGUGAGUCAUCGAAAUUUUGAACGCAUAUUGCACCUUCGGGUUCGUCCUGGAGGUAUGCCUGUAUCAGUGUCCGU